AGCGAACGCUGGCGGCAGGCUUAACACAUGCAAGUCGAACGGGCGUAGCAAUACGUCAGUGGCAGACGGGUGAGUAACGCGUGGGAACGUACCUUUUGGUUCGGAACAACCCAGGGAAACUUGGGCUAAUACCGGAUAAGCCCUUACGGGGAAAGAUUUAUCGCCGAAAGAUCGGCCCGCGUCUGAUUAGCUAGUUGGUGUGGUAACGGCGCACCAAGGCGACGAUCAGUAGCUGGUCUGAGAGGAUGAUCAGCCACAUUGGGACUGAGACACGGCCCAAACUCCUACGGGAGGCAGCAGUGGGGAAUAUUGGACAAUGGGCGCAAGCCUGAUCCAGCCAUGCCGCGUGAGUGAUGAAGGCCCUAGGGUUGUAAAGCUCUUUUGUGCGGGAAGAUAAUGACGGUACCGCAAGAAUAA
rnacentral:rRNA from 1 species